GAAUUCAUUACGAAUGAGAGUAAACAUGGAGUACGAGCCUAGUGUUUAUUGUAAUUGUGGGUUGAAAGCUCCUAUUUGCACAAGUAGAGACUCGGGAAAGUAAUUCUUCGGAUGUCAAAGAUGGAAGGAUGGAAAUAGUUGUGGCUUUUUCCUUUGGAAGGAUCACAGUGCAAGGAGGGGCGAAAGUGAGCAAGAAGACCU